CCUACGGGUGGCAGCAGUGAGGAAUAUUGGUCAAUGGACGAGAGUCUGAACCAGCCAAGUAGCGUGAAGGAUGACUGCCCUAUGGGUUGUAAACUUCUUUUAUAUGGGAAUAAAAUGUUCCACGUGUGGGAUUUUGUAUGUACCAUAUGAAUAAGGAUCGGCUAACUCCGUGCCAGCAGCCGCGGUAAUACGGAGGAUCCGAGCGUUAUCCGGAUUUAUUGGGUUUAAAGGGAGCGUAGGUGGAUUGUUAAGUCAGUUGUGAAAGUUUGCGGCUCAACCGUAAAAUUGCAGUUGAAACUGGCAGUCUUGAGUACAGUAGAGGUGGGCGGAAUUCGUGGUGUAGCGGUGAAAUGCUUAGAUAUCACGAAGAACUCCGAUUGCGAAGGCAGUUCACUGGACUGAAACUGACACUGAGGCUCGAAAGUGUGGGUAUCAAACAGGAUUAGAUACCCGAGUAGUC
rnacentral:rRNA from 1 species